CAGCAGGCGCGAAAACUCUACAAUGCAGGCAACUGCGAUAGGGGAACAUCGAGUGAUCCUCAUAUUGGGGGUCUGUCCCACCGUCUAAAAAACGGUGGUUAGCAAGGGCCGGGCAAGACCGGUGCCAGCCGCCGCGGUAAUACCGGCGGCUCGAGUGGUGGCCGAUAUUAUUGAGUCUAAAGGGUCCGUAGCCGGCUUUGCAAGUCUCUCGGGAAAUCCAGCGGCUUAACCGUUGGUCGUCCGGGGGGUACUACAUUGCUUGGGACUGGGAGAGGUAGGAGGUACUCAGGGGGUAGGAGUGAAAUCCUGUAAUCCUCUGGGGACCACCGGUGGCGAAGGCGUCCUACCAGAACAGGUCCGACGGUGAGGGACGAAAGCUAGGGGCACGAACCGGAUUAGAUACCCGGGUAGUCCCAGCCGUAAACGAUGCUCGCUAGGUGUCACAACAGUCGUGAACUGUUGUGGUGCCGUAGGGAAGCCGUGAAGCGAGCCACUUGGGAAGUACGACCGCAAGGUUGAAACUUAAAGGAAUUGGCGGGGGAGCA
rnacentral:rRNA from 1 species